GAUAACUAGCUUGUGACAACCAAACGUUCGUAACGACGUUGCUUUUUUAUACUUCGAUGUCAGCUCUUUCUAUCAUUGUGAAGUAGAAUUCACCAAGUGUUGGAUUGUUCACCCACCAAUAAGAAACGUGAGAUGGGUUUAGACCGUUCUGCAAAAUUUU
rnacentral:ncRNA from 1 species